rnacentral:misc_RNA from 1 species
GCAUCGACAACGACGCGAUCUUCUCCAUGUGGG